GGGCGUGUAGCAUAGCCAGGUUAAUGCGCUCGGCUGAUAACCGGGAGAUCGUGGGUCCGAAGCCCACCAUGCCCA
rnacentral:tRNA from 1 species